rnacentral:rRNA from 1 species
AGCGAACGCUGGCGGCAGGCCUAACACAUGCAAGUCGAACGGCUCUUCGGAGCAGUGGCGGACGGGUGAGUAACGCGUGGGAACGUGCCCUUUGGUUCGGAACAACACAGGGAAACUUGUGCUAAUACCGGAUGUGCCCUUCGGGGGAAAGAUUUAUCGCCAUUGGAGCGGCCCGCGUUGGAUUAGGUAGUUGGUGGGGUAAAGGCCCACCAAGCCUACGAUCCAUAGCUGGUCUGAGAGGAUGAUCAGCCACACUGGGACUGAGACACGGCCCAGACUCCUACGGGAGGCAGCAGUGGGGAAUCUUGCGCAAUGGGCGAAAGCCUGACGCAGCCAUGCCGCGUGAAUGAUGAAGGUCUUAGGAUUGUAAAAUUCUUUCACCGGGGAAGAUAAUGACGGUACCCGGAGAAGAAGCCCCGGCUAACUUCGUGCCAGCCGCCGCGGUAAUAC